GCCAGUGUGGCAUAGUGGUUUGAGUAUUAGACUGCAACUCUGGAGACCAGGGUUCAAUUCCCCUCUCAGCCA